UUGGUCUCCAACUUCUGUUAUUGGUACAGCUGGAGGGGAACCCAGAGCAGUCUGUCUCCAAACCCAUGAUGCUCCCACAGAACCACUUGAUGAGAAGGACAGAAAGAGUCUGUGAAUCGGGGCAAAAGGCAUAGAAAUGCCAGGAGGUUUCCCGAAGAGUGCAAGGAAACAGAACCAGGAGUGACCAGCAAGGCCCAGCCCAGUGGCAGAGCUGAGAUCUCUGUGACCGGCAGAGGGUCCCUGGCUGAGAGAGGGUACCGGUUGCCUUCUGCCUGCCUGCCCCAGGCAAGGAUGAGCUCUCCCCUGAGGGGGAUCCAUAGCCCGUGCUAGCAGUGGGCUAGCAGACCACCCGGCACUCUGAAUCCUGGGACCGCCCCACCCCACCCCAUGCACUGCUGGUCACUGGGAGCACUCAAGACAGGAAGGUAAGCCAGAGAGACUUGUGUUUUCCUUUGUAAAAAAAAAAAAAAAAAAUAUAUAUAUAUAUAUAUAUGUAUGUAUGGGAAAUUGAAGAUGCUGUUACAAUGUUAUAAAUUACAAGUUGCAAUUUUUUUUAAGUGAAAAAAAAGAUUUCAGCAAGUGAGAUAAGGUGGUAUCAGCACCACAGCAACCACCUUCAGCUGUUAGCACUUUGCAGCUUGAAAGUGACUUUGCUGGCCUUUUAUCACAAGAUUCACAACCAGCCUAUGAGACAGGAGUCAAGAUUUUCCCCAUUUCACAGGUGAGUAAAUGGAGGCUCAGAGAGGUCGGGUGAUUUGCCCAGGGCUGCACAGCUAGGACAAAGAAUGGGAAUCUAAACAUUUUGGCUCCAACAUACUGGCUAUAUCAAGCUGCUGACAGCCUUUUUAAAACUAUGAAGUGUUACACAAAUGUCAGGCAUUAAUAAUUAUUAUCACUUCCACCGUGUGGAGCUUGGC
rnacentral:lncRNA from 1 species